rnacentral:rRNA from 1 species
UACGAGGGGGGCAAGCGUUGUUCGGAGUUACUGGGCGUAAAGGGUGCGUAGGCGGCUUUUUAAGUUUGGUGUGAAAUCUCCCGGCUCAACUGGGAGGGUGCGCCGAAUACUGAGAGGCUAGAGUGCGGGAGAGGAAAGUGGAAUUCCUGGUGUAGCGGUGAAAUGCGUAGAUAUCAGGAGGAACACCGGUGGUGUAAACGGCUUUCUGGACCGUAACUGACGCUGAUGCACGAAAGCGUGGGUAGCAAACAGG